GACGAGCGCUGGCGGCGUGCUUAACACAUGCAAGUCGAACGCUGAAGCCCAGCUUGCUGGGUGGAUGAGUGGCGAACGGGUGAGUAACACGUGAGUAACCUGCCCCCUUCUUUGGGAUAACGCCCGGAAACGGGUGCUAAUACUGGAUAUUCACUGGCCUUCGCAUGGGGGUUGGUGGAAAGGUUUGUUCUGGUGGGGGAUGGGCUCGCGGCCUAUCAGCUUGUUGGUGGGGUGAUGGCCUACCAAGGCUUUGACGGGUAGCCGGCCUGAGAGGGUGACCGGUCACAUUGGGACUGAGAUACGGCCCAGACUCCUACGGGAGGCAGCAGUGGGGAAUAUUGCACAAUGGGCGAAAGCCUGAUGCAGCGACGCCGCGUGAGGGAUGGAGGCCUUCGGGUUGUAAACCUCUUUCGCUCAUGGUCAAGCCGCAACUGUGGGUUGUGGUGAGGGUAGUGGGUAAAGAAGCGCCGGCUAACUACGUGCCAGCAGCCGCGGUAAUACGUAGGGCGCGAGCGUUGUCCGGAAUUAUUGGGCGUAAAGGGCUUGUAGGCGGUUGGUCGCGUCUGCCGUGAAAUCCUCUGGCUUAACUGGGGGCGUGCGGUGGGUACGGGCUGACUUGAGUGCGGUAGGGGAGACUGGAACUCCUGGUGUAGCGGUGGAAUGCGCAGAUAUCAGGAAGAACACCGGUGGCGAAGGCGGGUCUCUGGGCCGUUACUGACGCUGAGGAGCGAAAGCGUGGGGAGCGAACAGG
rnacentral:rRNA from 1 species